rnacentral:rRNA from 1 species
UGCCAGACUCCUACGGGAGGCAGCAGUGAGGAAUAUUGGUCAAUGGGCGCGAGCCUGAACCAGCCAAGUCGCGUGAAGGAUGACGGCCCUACGGGUUGUAAACUUCUUUUGUCAGGGAGCAAUUGAGUCCACGUGUGGGCUUAGCGAGAGUACCUGAAGAAAAAGCAUCGGCUAACUCCGUGCCAGCAGCCGCGGUAAUACGGAGGAUGCGAGCGUUAUCCGGAUUUAUUGGGUUUAAAGGGUGCGUAGGCGGAAUAUCAAGUCAGCGGUAAAAAUUCGGGGCUCAACCCCGUCGUGCCGUUGAAACUGGCAGUCUCGAGUUGGAGAGAAGUAUGCGGAAUGCGCGGUGUAGCGGUGAAAUGCAUAGAUAUCGCGCAGAACUCCGAUUGCGAAGGCAGCAUGCCGGCUCCACACUGACGCUGAGGCACGAAAGCGUGGGUAUCGAACAGGAUUAGAUACCCCGGUAU